AUGUGAUCCACAGGCUGCACAUGCUGGUCACUCGACCAACAGGAAGAUGAAGGAACCCCUCCUGUCAAGCUCUCCGACUCCCUGAUGAUCAGUCCUCCUUCAGUUUCACCACCGCUGCUCCAUGACUUCAGAUCAUACCAAAUGCAGGAUUCUAAUCAGCAGUUUCGACCCCAUUCCCCAAAGUGAGCCUUGAAUAUCAGCAUUAAAUAGAGAACAAAGCUGGAGCUCAGGAUCGCUUGAGCUAAUUUUCUUACGUUGGUUGAUUCCCAGAAAUCUGGAGAAACAAAGCUUCCUUUCUUUCAAGAAUGAUCAACUGUUAGGUUAAAUGAUUUUACGCCCUUGAGAAAAAUAUACGGCCGAUAUGGGUGGGGCAUUGAUUUACAGGCCAUUCCAUCUUCUUUAGUUAUCUAGAAUGCAGCUCCAACCCUGUCCUUGUCCGUUGGUGUCAUGGCUUUGCCCCUUUGUGAAUGAUGCCUCACGUGUCAAGUCUUUUUCUAAAAUAAAGUUGAAUAUGACUUGCAAAAUAUCGAAAUCCAUAUGAAAGGGGCUUUUUGUUUUCAUUUUACAUUAUUUUCCCAAUUACUGGAGUUUUCCUCUUCGGUCCUUGCAAGGGGCUUUACUUUUUGACUUGGCGACUAAGUUCAAAUAUCUGACUGUAACUUCUUCGUUUUUUCGAUGUUUUGGUGAUAAAAAAUAAAACAAAAUCACUUUGAGGAAAACUGUAAAGAAACUAACGGCAAUGCAUGGAACAAAGAGAAAGAAAAUUUAUUUUAAGUGUUAACGAGCUGCUCCGGUGAGAUAGGGGCACAGUAAAAUAUAAUGUUCCAUAUCAAAGUUACCAAGCUGGUUUUAUGCACUGUCCCAUGCAAAAAAAAAAAAAUUGUGCACUCGAGAUAUAAUGUUCGGAAUACCCCUGAUCAGUAAAAAGUGGGAAACCUUUCUAAGGAGAAAAAUAGGUAGUAAAAAAGUUGAAUGUCCAACAAAAACUUCCUUUUUUUUUGAAAAAUCUCCAAAAGGCCCAACUUUUCCUUCUUUUGCUUUUGGGUGCAUAUCUGACACUCUCUGCAGUAACAGAAUCUUUCAUCUACUCAAAGUUACAUAUACAGAGUUUAGGUUCUGUGUGGAGCUAUAUAGUGAUGGGCCAGAAACACAUCUGCAAGAGUUUGUAUUUUUCCUUUCUUUUUACUGCCCGCCUCAUGUUGGGGUAUUUUACCUCUGAAGACUUUGUCAAGUUUUAAAAAUUUCAAGAUGUACUCAUAAUCGAAAUCGGUACAAGAAAGCAUGGGCAUCUAUAGUGUGAUUAAUAUUGAUGGAGAAGAUCCAAAACAGUGGCGUAUGAAUAUUAUGAUGCCGAUGUUUAUUGUC